ACAAUAUGGUGCCACUUCAUCGGAUGAUAGUAACGUGAUCACGCCGGACACCGGUUAUCAGACAACUCCAAUAUUCAUAUAAAUAGGUGUGCAGCACCUUAGAUCAAGCAUAACACGUUUUUUAUGCAAAUCUAUACUUUGUAUUUCCUUCUCAAGUUCUCUAAGAACCAACUCAAAAACCAAAAAUGGGCGCAGAAAAAGUAUCCAUGAACAUCGUUGUCGUCGGACAAGUGCAAUCCGCCAAAGCUAUCAAAACCGUCGCCAAGAACAGCCCAGCUGCCAACCAAAUCAUGAAUUGUUAGUGAAACAUAUCCAUGAAAUCAAACUUCAAAAUGCCAUAGACCACACAAUACAUUCUAUAUAUUAUAUCAUAAUAAUAAAAUGUAAUGCAAUAUCAUUAAAUAAACUAUAAAAUAUCCGUUUAAC